UCCUGCCAGCAUGUGGUUCAGUGUGCACAUAUGCUUCACAGGAAUAACCACAGUGAUGAAACUGAAGAAGUUGUUCUCCUGUUGGUGAAAGUCAAGGCUCUGCGUAUUGCUGACGCACUCCUUGAAGAGUGCAAACUGGAACAUCUUAAAUCUGUGAUCAGGAAAUAACGAUUUCUUUGAAGCAGCAGUUCUUUUACUGAAACAAGCCUGAUGCUCACUCUAAAAAAGUGGUAAUGUUUAAUGAGUGGACCCUGCCUACAGUUGUUUUACAGUGAAAUGUUUUGUUUUUUUCCCAAAUGUCUUCUGCUGCCAUCUACUUCUAGAUAAAAUCACAAUCAUUGGUGUAAAGUGCAGGUGUUCUGAAAUAUAUGACAAAGCCUUGUUUCUUCCUUCUUUUGGGAAGGAUGACUGGAACAGGGGAGUGCCUGUAAUGUUACCACUGCUAGUGAGCAGACAACUUCACAAGCUGUUUUCAAUACCACACCAAAUCACUCUGACUGAGGAGUCACUGAACUCUAACUUAUUGUCCACUUAAUGAGAUAACUCUACCAAACUCAGAGAGUUCUUUUUCACUUAGAAAGCUUGUCAUAGCUUUUUGAUCCUGACACAGAAGCAGGAAUUCUGUGUGCAGUGAGGAGUCUGAUCUAUGAAUAUCUACUGAUGAUAAACGGGUGUUCAGGAAGGUAAGAAGUUGCACAGGAGAAUGUCUUACCUACACUUACUCUUGCCCAGAGUAUGAUUUGUAGUGGAGCUUUGUACUUGAGAUAUAGACUGGACUUUGUGCACAGACCUGAAGUUGUCACACACCCUGACUUAUAAGACAAGCAGAAGAGUUACCUUCUAGUAAUUGGCUCUCUAAGGAAGUCUUACUUUCGCUUCCCUGUAAGAUGCAUGAAGCCUCAUUUCUUUGUACUCAUGUUAGAUUUCUAAUGUUGUGUAACUUCAUAUAUGUGUAGUAAAUAUUACUGCUGAAGAAUAAAAAGGAUGUUUUGUUGUAGAACCAGCAGUGCAUCACAAAUUCUGCGAAGUUUGCUAUUGCCUGUUUCUCUAAAAUGUUAUGGGUCUAGCAUUUAACUCUUGCAGGCUUAUUCCCUAUGAUUUUUUCUAUUUAUUACAAAAUAUAUAUUUUUGUAAACUAUUUUAAUUGUAAAUAGCAUUGAUCAGUGUUACACACACACAAAAAAUGACUUUUAAAGUAAAAACAAAGCAAUUAUUUUGAAAAGUAAAGAUACUGUUGUGUUAAUGAGACUUUUAACGCUUUCAGGUCUUGAACACAUCACAGGAAUGUUAUGUGACGUAUGGAGAAAAAAAAAAACAAAACUUUGGGACUGCUGGCACUUCAUUAUCUUCAGGAAUUAGGAGUUCUGUUGUAAAUAAUUGUGCACUCCUCCUUUCCUGAGUGCAAAGGAAAUGUAACUGAUCAGUAAUUAGCUGAAGCAUGUGAUCUCCGUGCUUGC